UGUAUAAUGAUGUACUUAUAUACAUAAAACACCAACUUAUAGGCUAACAGCCAAAGCAUGAAAUAUGUAUGCAAGUUUCCCCUUAAGAAUAUGAACUAUGUAAUAAUACAGUUUACUUGUAGAAUCAUAGAAUUUUAGAUCUAGAAGGGCCCAAAUAGAACAACUUUUUCAACACUUUCAUCUUAAAGAUGAAGAAAUGUGGUGUUGAAAGCUCAGUUGACAGACUACUUCAAGAUCUGUUGAUCAUUCAGCUUAUUACUAAACUAAACAAGUCGAAGAUACACAAUAAGAAAGAGAACCAUAAAAUAUUUAAAAUAACUAGGAAAACAGGAGUUUAAUAAGCAACUUUGGGGUCUUCAAAAUAACCACCAAGCAUAUCAAAUUAGAAUAUGCUAUUCUCUUACUUUUUUCUUUUUUUUUUUUACAUUUUACCAUUCUCCAGUUUUAAGGCUUCAAUUAGCCAAUCAUUCACACUUAUUUUACUGUACACUUAAUAUAUGCAAGACACUUAGCUAGACAUCACAGAUGACCAAAAUUAUCUAAGACAUGACCCUGGUCCUUAAAUUACUUGCAGUAGCUGACCCUAAUCCACCUUUCCAAGUCUUGUCACCAUUCAUAUUCUGUUUUUGGCUUCUAGUCAGAUUAUAAUCUCCUGGAGGGCAGGGACAAUUUAUACUUCUCUGUAAACCCAGAAAUGCUCCCCAUCUUUUACAUUCCAAUGCACACAGAAAAAUUGCUAAGAUUUGUAUGUCAUGCUGGAGGAAACUCUCAAGGAUGCUAGUGGCUAGAAGUGCUUGUUCUGACCAGCCAUCCUGAGCUCUACUUGGCACCGUUAAAGCUGGAAGGAUCCAUAUCUUGGAACAUUUAUAAUCCAAAGAACAAACUUUGCACAGCACACCAGCUGUGUCCCAUAGUCCCUAUCAUCGUUCUAGACCACAGUAGGUACUCAACAAAUAUUUCUUGAGUUAAGAUAAUAGUACAUGGAAUGCAUUGCUGACAUUAGAAGAUGAAGUGAGCAAAGUAAGCGCCAGACCUCAACUUGAAAUAGCGUUACAAAUUUUAGAUUCAUAUACUAAAAAUUCCAAGUUACCCACAUCCUAUUUGCAGAAUUAAUGAACAAAUAACACUCCAGUUGGGAGGAGAUGCUUAAAAAGUAGCUCAGAGCUGUAUUGAGUUUAAAGACAAAGUAAUCCAUAAACAUCUAUAGUUAUGGAUGGGCUUGCUUCCCCCCACCCCCUGCAAAAAAAGAUAUGUUGAAGUCCUAACAUCCAGUACCUCAGAAUGCAACUUUAUUUGAACAUAAUUGCAGAUAAAAUCAGCCAAAUGAAGAUGAGGCCAUAUCGGAAUACAGGGCUCUUAAUCUAAUCUGACUACAGUUGUUAUAAGUAGACAGCCAUGCGAAGACACAGAGACACAGGGAGAACAUCACGCAACGUCAAAAGGCAGAGAAUGGAGUUACACAGCUGCAAACCAAGAAAUGCCAACCACUGCCAUCAAGCUUCCAAAAGCUAGGAAGAAAGAAGGAAAAUUUCAUAGGGAAAGUAGCCACUACCAACACCUUGAUUUUGGACUUCUAUCCUCCAGAACUGCAAGAGAAUAAUUUCCUGUUGAUUUAAGCCAUUUCACUUGUGGUACUGUGUUACAGCAGCCCUAGGAAAGAAUAAUCUAUCAAAAAUGU